rnacentral:rRNA from 1 species
AGAGUUUGAUCAUGGCUCAGAACGAACGCUGGCGGCGUGGAUAAGACAUGCAAGUCGAGCGGGAUUUCUUUUGGUAGCAAUACCGAAGGAAGUCUAGCGGCGAACGGGUGCUUAACACGUGGGCAACCUGCCAAGAAGUGGGGGGAUAGCUCGCCGAAAGGCGAAUUAAUACCGCAUGUGAUUAGAGAGGACAUCCUUUCGAAAUCAAAGUCGGGGCAACCUGACGCUUUUUGUGGGGCCCGCGGCCUAUCAGCUAGUUGGUGAGGUAACGGCCCACCAAGGCUUUGACGGGUAGCUGGUCUGAGAGGACGACCAGCCACACUGGGACUGAGACACGGCCCAGACACCUACGGGUGGCAGCAGUCGAGAAUUUUUGACAAUGGGGGAAACCCUGAUCGAGCGACGCCGCGUGGAGGAUGAAGGUCUUCGGAUUGUAAACUCCUGUCAUUGGGGAACAAGGUGCAUACGUUAACUGCGUGUGUAUUGAUAGUACCCGAAGAGGAAGAGACGGCUAACUCUGUGCCAGCAGCCGCGGUAAUACAGAGGUCUCAAGCGUUGUUCGGAUUCAUUGGGCGUAAAGGGUGCGUAGGCGGCGCGGUAAGUCGGGUGUGAAAUCUCGGGGCUUAACUCCGAAACUGCAUUCGAUACUGCCGUGCUUGAGGACUGGAGAGGAGACUGGAAUUUACGGUGUAGCGGUGAAAUGCGUAGAUAUCGUAAGGAAGACCAGUGGCGAAGGCGGGUCUCUGGACAGUUCCUGACGCUGAGGCACGAAGGUCAGGGGAGCAAACGGGAUUAGAUACCCUAGUAGUCC